UACGGAGGGAGCUAGCGUUGUUCGGAAUUACUGGGCGUAAAGGGCGCGUAGGCGGCUUGAUAAGCGUGCGGUGAAAGCCCGGGGCUCAACCCCGGGUCGGCCGUGCGAACUGUCGAGCUGGAGCACUGUAGAGGCAGGUGGAAUUCCGGGUGUAGCGGUGGAAUGCGUAGAGAUCCGGAAGAACACCGGUGGCGAAGGCGGCCUGCUGGGCAGUGGCUGACGCUGAGGCGCGAAAGCUAGGGGAGCGAACAGG
rnacentral:rRNA from 1 species